GAUGAACGCUGGCGGCGUGCCUAAUACAUGCAAGUCGAGCGAAUGGAUUAAGAGCUUGCUCUUAUGAAGUUAGCGGCGGACGGGUGAGUAACGCGUGGGUAACCUGCCCAUAAGACUGGGAUAACUCAGGGAAACCGGGGCUAAUACCGGAUAACAUUUUGAACCGUAUGGUUCGAAAUUGAAAGGCGGCUUCGGCUGUCACUUAUGGAUGGACCCGCGUCGCAUUAGCUAGUUGGUGAGGUAACGGCUCACCAAGGCAACGAUGCGUAGCCGACCCGAGAGGGUGAUCGGCCACACUGGGACUGAGACACGGCCCAGACUCCUACGGGAGGCAGCAGUAGGGAAUCUUCCGCAAUGGACGAAAGUCUGACGGAGCAACGCCGCGUGAGUGAUGAAGGCUUUCGGGUCGUAAAACUCUGUUGUUAGAGAAGAACAAGUGCUAGUUGAAUAAGCUGGCACCUUGACGGUACCUAACCAGAAAGCCACGGCUAACUACGUGCCAGCAGCCGCCGCGG
rnacentral:rRNA from 1 species